AAUUUUACUGUAAGAUAAUUCUUUCAAUUCAUUGUUAGGCAAACUAAGAACGAUCUGGCUGAUUGUUGGAGUCACUGUUGGGUGUCUGUUUGUGGUAUAAACAAAAAGGAACACCGGGAACAGGUUACAAGGUAUCGGGACAUUUUAAUGGUUUCCCCAAACAACACAAGAAUGGUCAGCUGACUGAUGACAAAGACAACAUAAAAGUUUAUGUCGAGGCUCACCCUGAUUAUGACGUGGAAAAUCAUCCUGACUAUAAUUAAUAUUGAAUUAAGUGAGAAAAAUGAUCUAGCAAAUGUUUUCAGGGCAUUAUACUUGGUUGUUUUUUUUUCAUGUUUUAAUAUGUUUUCCUAGAUUUAUAUUUGUAAAACUUGCUUGUACAUGCAUUCUUGUGAAAGUAAUCAGCUUUAAAUAUUUACGCAAUUUAUUUAAUUUUUUACGUUUAUAAUGUUUAUAUUAAUGUGCAUGCCUCGCUUUGGCAACAUGACAAAUCUUGAUAUACUAUGUCCAUAUAUCAACAUGUUUUUAUCACAUCAGAUGAAGUUUAAUUAGACGAAGGGUAGCUUAUUUUCAAAAAAUAUUGAGCGCUACUUUUAUAAACGAUACAGACAUAAAUAGAUAAAAAACAUACAAGUACUCUUAAUCCAAGAGAGCAAGAGAGCCUGUGAAUUUCUUCAUUUUUAGAUUCAGUGAAACAGGUACUAUAAACAGACCUCUAAGAGUUUAACAUUUUGCUUUUAAAAAAGUAUUUACAAUGUUAUAUGAAAUUGAUCAAACUCACUACCAUUUGUCCUUUCUGUAAUUUAAUAUUUCACCUUAUCAGUUAAAAUCAUUGACCAAGAAUGUAAAAAUAGGAUCACUGUUUGACCAAAAAGCUUUAAAUUGAA